rnacentral:rRNA from 1 species
AUUGAACGCUGGCGGCAUGCCUUACACAUGCAAGUCGAACGGCAGCACGGGAGCAAUCCUGGUGGCGAGUGGCGAACGGGUGAGUAAUAUAUCGGAACGUGCCCGGUCGUGGGGGAUAACGUAGCGAAAGCUACGCUAAUACCGCAUACGAUCUACGGAUGAAAGCGGGGGAUCGCAAGACCUCGCGCGAUUGGAGCGGCCGAUAUCAGAUUAGGUAGUUGGUGAGGUAAAGGCUCACCAAGCCGACGAUCUGUAGCUGGUCUGAGAGGACGACCAGCCACACUGGGACUGAGACACGGCCCAGACUCCUACGGGAGGCAGCAGUGGGGAAUUUUGGACAAUGGGCGCAAGCCUGAUCCAGCAAUGCCGCGUGCAGGAUGAAGGG